GUCUUCGUAGGUGAACCUGCGUAGGA
rnacentral:rRNA from 1 species